CCUUGUGGUAACUCUGCAAUGUGGAGAAACUGGCAUGAGGCACAGAUCCUUCUUAGAAGAGGAAGAAAAAGACUCUGUACUCCUGCAAAACCCGUGGCACUGCACUCUGCGCCCAUGACGAGGGCAGGGCUUUAACAGCCGCCGCUCCUCCCGGCCCUCACAGUGUCCUCAGCACCCACCCCAGCACAGCACAAAGGCCGACCAGUGCCGGGAGGUGGGAAUGAGCCAUCCUGCUUGGAAAGAGAGGCGAAGAAUCUGCGGGCAAACAAAAAGGUUUGGUCAGGUUCCCACUGCAGCU
ensembl:lncRNA